rnacentral:lncRNA from 1 species
AUGAUUGGAGGACAGCCAGCAGCCACAGCAUCUUCCUCGGGAGCUGGGAGCGGAGCCAAGCGAGCGGCGCGGCUGCUAAGUCGGGGCGCUCCAGGGAGGGCGGGGGGGUGGCUUUUUGGCAGUCGGCGGCCUCCGCCUGCCAGGAGGAAUGGCGGGGAGCCGCUCGCCGUCUUCCCGGCCCCCCAGGAGCCGCUCCUCCUCCCCAAUCGCGCAAGCCGUUCCAGGCAGCCACCGACUGCUUCGGGGGGUUGUGGGCAGGCGGGCAAAGAGGCUGGCGCUGCAGAGCCGAGAGGUGAAGAGUGCGGGCCGGGAGGCGCUCCGCUCACGCCCUGUCCCGAAGUGCCGCCGCCGCCGCCCCCCGCGCGCGCCUCCCCUCCUGCCAGCCGCAGCGCCUCUCACGGGCCGAGCCGGCUUGGAGGGAGGGCGCAAGAGAUGCCCUUUCCGGCUCCAACUCUUUUCUCUAUCACCCAUGGCUGCGGCCGGCUGUUCUGGCAGGAGCGCAGCCGGGCUACUUGCCACCGCCGUUUCCCGGGUGGGCGCGGGUCCUUGGCGAGCAGCCUCGGUCGCCCAGAGAAGGCGGCGGCCGGCAGGAAUGUUGGCAGGAGGAGGCGCGCUGGGCCCGAGGCCGAAGGGCUCUCGGUGGAGGGCCUGGGCAGCGCCCGCCUUCCUUCGCCACCCGCGCGCCUCCCCGGAAAAGAGGAAAGGUCCCGCGGAGGGUCCACGGCCGAGAGCUCUGCCUGCUUCCCAGCUGCCGCCCACCUCCGCAGGGCUCGGUCGCUGACCUUCAGAAACAAGCCGGCAUUCUUCGGGGCUUGGCUGGCACCCUCCCAGGCCCGUCCUGCUCACAGGGCGCCCCUUGUGUUCCUCGCUGGAAGGAAGACCGCCCCCCUUCGCAGCCCAGCCCCCCGCUGCCCACGCCUGCAGCCGCCGCACAAAGGGUCCGCGGGCCGCUGCCAGGCCGACGGGCAAGAAUCUGCGGAGGAGGAAUUCGGCUCUAAGAUUUCCCUUGGGCUUUCUGGGGCUACAGCUUGGCCUUUAACCAGAGGCGCCUGGAUCCAGUCUGAAUUCGGUGCGUUUCGCCGCCAGGAACCAGAUUCUAACGGCUCUCGAAUUCACCUGAUUUCCAGGACUACAAGUCCCAUCAGUCCUAGCCAGCAUAGACCCUCGCGAGGAAUGCUGGGUGUUGCAAUCCUCCAGCGUCCCGAGGGCAGAGCUUGGGAGAUAGGCGUGUUGUUUGGGCCCUGA